GGCGGGACCCGGCAGAGGGGUCUGUGCUGCGGGACCCGGCGGACGGCGGUGCGGUUCUCUGAGGCGUCUGAGGGCUGUGUUGCCUACGAGGGCUCUGAGGGCUGCGUUGCCUACGAGGGCUCUGAGGGCUGCGAGGCGUAGGGCGUCUUGGAGGACCUUGGGGGCUGCGAGGGCUUUUAGGGGUUCUGAGGCCUCGCCUUUGAGAGCUGUGAGGGUGUAAUGGCCUCAGCCCACUGGCGGGUUGGGGGAAGGAUAGUUUGAUUUAGUCUGGGCGGUGCACGGAAGAAAACAAAAUUCUCGGGAGGUUUAAUAAACUUUUUCUACAAACUUCGGAACGUUAAGGUAGAACAAGGAAGCCACAGGCAACACGAGGAUGGUGGAGCUGAAGAAGACAUGGACGCGCUUGUAGAGCGUUGGGAACCCAAGGGAAGCAGGAACGCUGCAAAACCCACUGCCCACUGAGGGAAGAGACAGUGAGGACGGAAAACUCGGGGAGCCUGUGGGUUUGGGAGGGCCAGGGUGGCCCCCACCCAGCAGGAGAAGAGCAGUGUGGUGCCUAGACCCAGCCAGCCGUGCAGCGAGUACAUGUUGGGUGUCCCGUGGGAAUUGUGGAAGUGGAACACGGCCACCAGCCCAGCAUGGUCGGGAUGAAUGCUCCCAAAGCCAGGCUGCCGUGCAGCACCUUCCAGGGAAGCUUGGGGCUGCUCCCAGUGUUGGGAAUACGGUAAACCGGGGUGGCUGUGAGGGAAAAAGGUCAGGAAGGAGCUGUGCCAGGCUGGCCUUUACCUCCACUGGGCACCAUGUCAUCUGCACCAGGAACACUGGGGCCAGCUGCUGGCCUUAUCAAGGAAGAGCUCUGUCAUACAAUAUCAGGAACCCACCUCAGAAUUCAGAUGCCAUCUCCAGAGUAGAAUACAUCUGGGAGCUGCUCCCAUGCAAAAGGUGUCAGGACAGAAAGGUGUUUCUGGCCUUUACAUCCCCUGGGAAGCCUAACAUCUGCACCACCAACACUGGGGCUAGGUGCUGUCCUUCCCAAGGAAAAGACUGUCAUACAACAUCAGGAAUUGACCUCUGAAACACGGAUGCACCCUCCAAAAUAGAAUACAUCUGGGGAUUGCUCCAAAAGAAAAGGUGCCAGGACAGAAAGCUGUUGCUGGCCUUCACCUCCCCCGAGCAGCCAAAACACUAGGGCUGGGUACUUUUGUUCCACAGGAAAGGCAAUGUUAUUGUCUUCCAGUAGCCCACCUCUGAAAUCUGGAUAUCACCAACAAAACUGAGUUCUUUUGGGGAUUGCUCCCACAAAAAAUAUGCCAGGACAGAAAGCUGUUGCUGGCCUUUACCUUCCCUGGACAGUCAAUCAUCUGCAUCACCAACACUGGGGUGAGGUGUCGUACUUCCCAAACUAAAUGUACAGCCACAGUUUUCAGGAACCCACCUCUGAAAUUAGGAUACUAGACCAAAACAGAGUAAGUCUGGGGAUUGAUCCCACACUAAAGGAGCCAGGACAUAGAGCUGUUCCUGGCCUUUGCCUGCCCUGGCCACCAUUUCAUCUGCACCACAACACUGGGUAUGGCACCUUUUCUUCUAAGGGUAAAGUAGCAUCCUCACUCCCUGCAGGUGAGGGGGUGCUCAGGGGAGGUAAAGCUCAGUAACAGCUUUCUGUCCUGGCCUGUAUUCAAUUCUGCAGGUGGUAUCUGAAUUUCAGAUAUGGGCUCCUCAGUACGUAUAAAAUUACCUUUCCUUGGAAAGUAAAGCACCUAGCUCCAGGGUUGGUGAUGCAAAUGAGAGGCUGCCCAGAGGUGAUGAAGGGCAGCAUUAGCUUUCUGUCCUGGUACCAUUUUAUGGGACCAGUCCCUGAAUAUAUUCAGUAUUUGAGCCUGGAUCCAAAUAUGGGAGGUUGGCACCUGAAAAUUAUAGCAGUACAUUUAUUUUGGCAAGGCUAGUACCUAGUGCCAGUGUCAUGGGGCAGAUGGUAGGGUGCCCAGAGGAGGUAAAUUCAGCAACACCUUUCUGUCCUGGAACCUUUUUCGUAGGAGCAAUUCCCAAAACGGUUCAAUUUCUGAAGUUCUAUCAAAUUUCAGAGGAGGGCUCUUGAAAGAUGAUAACGUUACUUUCCCUUGGGAAGCAAAGCAUCCAACCACAGUGUUCAUUGUGCGGACGACAGGCUGCACUGGGGAGGAAAGGCUAGCACCAGCUUUCUCUCCUGGCACCUUUUGUGUGGGACCAAUCCUGGGAACUAUUCCAUUCUAUCCAAUUUUCAGAGGUGGGCUAUCCAAUUUUCCAGUUUCCAGAGGUGGGCUCUCAGAAGGUGACAACAUUACCUUCCCUUGUGAAGGAAAGCACCUACCCCAGGGCCGCUGGUGCACAUAAUAGGGUACCAAGGGGAGGUAAAGGCCAGCAAAACCUGGGUACAUUUUUUUAAUCAGAGGAAUGCCCAGAUGUAUUCAAUUUUGGAGCCUGGAUCCAAAUUUCAAAGCAAUAAUGGGAGGGAAAUAAAAUCACAGAGGUCGAGGCACAGGCAUCGGGAAUGUCGCAGAGGUUCAGCUCCAGUGUGGUGACAGAAGAGGGGAUGCUCUCGUAAGGGACGUGGCGGAGGUCUGUCUCGGUCAGGCACAGGCGAUGGAGCUGGGGACAGUGCUUGCGGAGGGCAGCCAGCAGUGCCGGGGAGAGGAGCCGCUGCUUGCCGAGGGAGCGGGGCGUGCCCCGCACCCGCAGGGUGCACAGGCUGUCAGGGAGGCGGUGGCGGACCAGGUGCCACAGGGUGCGGCGGGUGAUCUGCGGGGGGAAAGGGCCUGGCUGCAGGGGGUGGGCCGGGGAGGGGCACCCCUGCCCGCGGGGGUGAUCCCCCCGUUCCCCUCAGCUCCUGCCCGCGGGGGUGAUCCCCCCGUUCCCCUCAGCUCCUGCCCGCGGGGGUGAUCCCCCCGUUCCCCUCAGCUCCUGCCCGCGGGGGUGAUCCCCCCGUUCCCCUCAGCUCCUGCCCGCAGGUACCGGGAGGGCCCGGGGGGGUCCGCUGGGCUCGGGACCUCCCCGUCUGACCCUCUUCGUUACCGGCAGCCCCCCCGGUGCCUCUUCGCUCCUCCGCGUUAAGCCCCGUGUCUCAUCCGAUCUGCCUCGCCCCACCAUGCCUCUUGUCCCCGAGUCCCCGCUCGGUGCCUCUUGUCCCCCAUCACCACCCGCUGCUACUUUGCUUCUCGCUCGUACUCCCGAUGUGUAAUCGCCGGUCUCGCCUCGUACCCCCCUUCUCCUCCCCCGUCAACCUCCCUCAUCUCUCAGGCAGCGAUCAGCCCUGUGCGCUUCUUUUCUGACGCUUCCCCAUCCGUUUGGAUUAAAAAAGGGGUAAAUGCUUAGGUUUCUGAGGGCGUUUCCUCCCAAGUGUGAAAACAAACAGGCCUGGAAGACAGGAAGUGGUUUGGAAACGAACACUGAAGGCACGAGCAGAUGUGCUUGUCCGAGACAAUCAAAUGGAUUUGGGUCCAAUAAAGCACCUGAGUAUGACUAUUAAA